AGCUGAAACGACGUGAAACGACGAUUACCCACACACUCGCGCUACACGUAUAUAGAGCUCUCUUUUUUGCUUCGCCCCGUCCUCUGCUUGUGUGAGUGAGAUAUGCGUAUGUGGCGUGGUUAUAGUUCAUGGGGCUGCCAACUCACCCAAAACAAAAACACACCAAAUGUUGAGUAGAAAACAAACAACAAACACGUACACACAUGUGCAUUCUUUGUGUAGAUCGAACAAUUAACAAUUAAGCUUACUAACUAAAUGGAUUAAUAUUCAGAUUUGGUUGACACUAUUCCCGUUCGCCCGCUUUCUUUAUCGCCCAGUUGAUUGAAUUGGGAAUAUCUCCUCUACACAGUUUAUGGAGUGCCAGUGCUUAUUGAGUUAAGCUGAUUUAUUUGCUAUAUAAUAUAUGUAUACUAUAUGUAUGUAUAUAUGUAUAUGGACAUGGACAUAUUCCAUGAUUCAAGUGACUUGAAAUUGUCAUUUAAGGACCUAUCUCUGCUCAACUUGUUCACAUUGACUGCCCGAACCGAACUCUUAACCUUCACCUCGGCUGAUUGAUUGAAUGCUAUAUAAGGUGGCGGAUUUGAGCGACUAUUUUGAUCACUCAAUUAGAGUUUUUAUGAGUGAGAGAUUACUCAUAUAUAUGUAUACCUAUGUUUAAUUGCUUUAUAAUGAGCCCGUAUCGGCAAUCCAUUAAAAAAUUUGCACUUCAUUAAA